ACACAAUCAAAGUAAAUGCCACCAUAAUUAAAAGCCAUCUCCAUUAGUUUCUUCCAGCAUGUCCUUCUGUUAUAAAGGGUUUCUGCACUCACUGUCAAAUACAUUUUAAAUCCAUGCUUUUUGUGCCACAUGUUUAAUGGAUGAACCUCUUGCUGUGGGCUUUGGCAAAGAGUCAUGUGACUAUAUGGGUUAAGGUGAAUGCACGUGGUCCCCGUUGGGCUUUCAGAUGGCAAGACAGAAAGUCCGGAGACACGCUUGAUCUCAGCGCGUUCCCCAAACCCCGCCCACACCGCGUUUCCCUUCAAUCACAUCUCGGCCACAUGCCUGCGCAGACCCCUAGGUCUGCUGCAUGGCGAACACAUGAGGUUUUGAUUUGUAUACAUUACAUUUCUAAUAUAAAGCCCAGUUAACUUCAUUACGAUGCAGCGAAUUUUCCGGCACAUUUUGAUAUGCUCAUUCGUUAAUAUGUGUUAAAGGCCGCUUUAGGAUAUUGCCUUCAUAUACCAACAUCUAUCCCCAAUCAUUUUUCUCAGUUCAGGUUCUUGUUCGUCACCAAUAACAGCUGUUUACCUCCAACACGUGGUUUCGCUGGGUGUACGCGGCCAUCAACCAUGUGGACGUGCAUAAGCAUGCGUAGUACUAGUCCAAGACUAGUUUUACUUCAUUUGUUACAAUUAAACAACAUCAAAAGGGAAAAAGGUUUGAUUUAACUUUCGUAUAUAGGCUAUAAACGGUAUAUAUAUUUUUUUUUUUUUACAAUUACACAAGUAAAGUAAUUGACACCAUAAUUAAAAGCCAUCUCCAUUAGUUGGUUUCCUUUUCCUUCUGAUAUAAAGGGUUUCUGCACUCAAUGUCAAAUACAUUUUAAAUCAUGCUUUUUUGCACUACAUGUUUAAAGAUGAAACCUCCUGGUGUAGGCCUAGGCAAUUUGAGGAAAUCUGUCACGCCCACUUUGAUACUUAAUCCCACCAGGCAGUCAUUUGUACUAUACAUUGCAAUUAAGCCUUGCUUUUUUGUUCUUCCUCAAAUAGUCCUAUAUAACAUUUUCUGUCACUCUAUAAUCACAGUACAUAAGUCAGAUAUGUAAUGACCACAGUCAGCAGUCAUUCCUGAUUCCUUUAGUAGCCUCUUGGUCAGUAGGUUAGGCCUUUAAGCUCCCUUGGGAGUAAAGGCCAUCGAUGAAUCCCCUCUACCCUCUCCAUUCUUGUGACUUCCCAUUCAGUUGUUGCCAAGCCAGCCCUUUCGCCCUUCGAUCCUGUUCAGGACUUCUUCUCCAGGUGGUUCUAGGUAUUCCCCCCUUCCCCCUCCUCCUGAUUUGUUUUUCCAUUGUUAGGGUGGCAUUUGAGAAGGUGUUGGGCCAAUAGAUUUCCCAGGAGGUGUCGUAGGCAGCGGUUGGUGAAUGUCGGUAGCCUGUUGCAAAAAAGGCCAGCUUACAUGCAAAGCCGCUCUGGAGGAUGAAUUGGAGACAGGAAAGGUGGCCAGGAUAGCUCUGGGGACCGGCGACAUAGGAGAAGCCUAUCAGGAGGUAGAGGACGGAGGAGGAGCCUAUCAGGAGGUAGAGGACGGAGGCGGAGCCGUUCAGGAGGUAGAGGACGGAGGCGGAGCCGUUCAGGAGGUAGAGGACGGAGGCGGAGCCUAUCAGGAGGUAGAGGACUGAGGAGGAGCCUAUCAGGAGGUAGUGGACGGAGGCGGAGCCGUUCAGGAGGUAGAGGACGGAGGCGGAGCCGUUCAGGAGGUACGUGCUGUAGCUGGGAUCCUUGACCAGGACCUCUGGAGCCAUAAACCAGGUAGAGGACGGAGGCGGAGUCUUACGGAGGUAGAGGACGGAGGCGGAGCCGUUCAGGAGUUAGAGGAUGGAGGCGGAGCCUAUCAGGAGGUAGAGGACGGAGGAGGAGCCGUUCUAGAGGCCGGCCAUAUGGGCGGAGCCAUUCAGGGGGCUGGCCAAGUAGGCGGAGCCGUUCUGGAGGCUGACGACGUAGGAGUAGCCGUUUUCUAGGCCAGCCACCUAGGAGGAGCCGUUCAGGAGGUAGAGGAAGUAGGAGGAGCCGUUCAGGAGGUAGAGGAAGUAGGAGGAGCCGUUCAGGAGGCCGGCCAGGUAGGCGGUGCUGUUCAGGGGGACAGCAGAGUAGGCGGAGCCUAGUCC
ensembl:lncRNA